AUUCCGAUCCGCUGCCCCUGAGAGGUGGGCCUUGGGAGAGGCAGGGCUUGGACGCCCUUCCUCGGGGCAGCGGGGUGCAGGGAGAGUUCUUCUGGCUGUGAGUCCCGGAGUCCCCGACCCUGGCACCCCUUCAGCAAGGUUCUCAGGCACAUCUGCCGGGGGCGCUGAGGGGACCUGAGAUGGACGGGCCGGGAGGGAGGCUGAGGUAAGACCUGAGGCUGAGGUAAGACCUCAGCCUGAGGUAAGACACAGUGCUGGGGCCUCCCUUGAAGCCCGUUUGAAGUGAGGUCCCCACAGCUGUCAGAGGACACGCAGGGUGGGGGCUCCUGGGUGGGAAACAGGUAAACCUCUUGGGCGCCUGGGGCUGGAGGCCUGAGUGGUCCUGAAAAGAACAUUCAGGCCAGGCGCAGUGGCUCACACCUGUAAUCCCAGCACUUUCGGGGGCUGAGGCGGGUGGAUCACAAGGUCAAGAGAUCGAGACCAUCCUGGCCAACAUGGUGAAACCCCGUCUCUACUAAAGACACAAAAGCUAGCUGCAUGUGGUGGCGCACGCCUGUAGUCCCAGCUCCUCUUAGGGAGGCUGAGGCAGGAGAAUCACUUGGACCCAGGAGGCGGAGGUUGCAGUGAGCUGAGAUUGCGCCACUGCACUCCAGCCUGGCGACACAGCGAGACUCUGUCUCAAAAAUAAAUAAAUAAAUAAAUAAAAAGAAAAGAAAAGAACAUUUAGUGAAAGGAGCAAGGAAGAGAAGGCAUUCUGGGCAGACCCCGGCCCCCAGGGCACAGGCGUGCAGUGUUUCCCUUCCAGGGUUUGGUGGACACUUGGAGGGACCAGGUCGGGGUGUGGCCUGGGAGGGGUGGCCAAGGUCCAGGGGUCAGGGUCACUUCGGGGAAGUCCAAGGGGCAGCGCGGAGCCACCGCUGUGGACAUGGGAGGAGCCUACUAGCCAGCAUGGCCCAAAGGAAGGAGGGGCUGAGGGUCAGAGGUCAUGGGAGAGAAGAGGGAGUGGGGCAGACCCUCUCCCAAGGCCAUGGGGUGGGGGAGAAACAGCGCCUUAGGGCCUGUCCUGAUCCUCCUCCAGAGCCUGCUCAGAGUGGGAGCAGCCCCUCCUCCCUUCCCCUCCACCACCCAGGCGCAGGUGCGGCCUCUCCCUGGCCCGGGGACCUGCGUGAGGUCAGCCCUCAAAGCGCUGUCCCUUCUGGCUCACCUGGGCCCAGGGUGAGGCCCGACCCCACGGUGGACCCUGAGUCACUGCAGCUUCUGUGCCCAGCUCAGGAACAGAGCAGCCUUCAAGGCCAGGACUGGGGAGGGGCUCGGCUUUUCCGGCCCUUGGACGCCACUCAACUCUUCCUGCCCGUGUGUUGGCAAAGAACUAGCACGGCCUCUGAAGCACUGAAAAGACAAGGGCUACCUCUUUUCCAGAAGGUCCCAGAGCCCACCAUGAGCAGGCAGUGUUUGGGAAAAGCCCGGGGAGGUGGCAGGGGCUCCGAGGAGCGGGGGAUUCUAAGGGGUUAUAGCUGCGCUGAGCCCCGGGCUCCUCAGAAGCCUCAGAAGGAGAAGGGGGCUCCUUUGGGGGCAUCCUCCCUGCAUCCGGGGUGUUGCAGGGUGACCUCCCGUAGUGCCAGCAGGGGCGGCCCCUCGGUCUGGCCAGAGAAGCCCAGCCACUGUCCCGUAUGGUGGAUGUCAGGCCCAGUGCCGUGUUUCCGAAGGAGGGAAGGGGUGAGAGGCAGCAGCCAGACACCCCGCUGAGCCCGCCCCGACCCUGAGCACGUGGGAGCUGGAGACGGUGUCACACACUCGGCCUGGCUUUGGGACCAUCCCUAGGGCUUCUGUGGGGAGGAGGAAGGAGGAGCAGACGUGGAAGGGCUGCCAGGGCCCCAGCAGAUGGGGUCGGGGGCGGAGGAGAGCCAGGAAAGUGUGGGCGCCUGGGGGAGUCACAGAUGGAGGUCUGGUACCUAGAGCCUGGAGAACGACGGCUCUCGGGACAGAGGGCCUCAGACUCUGGCACACCAGCCGUACCUAUGACAAGCUCCAUGGGGGAAGAACCAGGCACCUGGAUGCAUGGCUGUGAGGCCCCCACCCCACAGGGGCCUCAGAGGCACAGGCUCCAGGCUCCAGCGGGGAGGGCGCUGCAUCCCACCCUGGGAGCAUGGCUAUGAGGCCCCCACCCCACAGGGGACCCAGAGGCACAGGCUCCAGGCUCCAGCGGGAAGGGCCCUGCUCCCCACCCCCAUCCCCCGCCUCAGGCUUCACUGAGAUGGGCCCCGGGGACCCCGGGAGCUUUCUGUGACUGCUCGGCAAUGGGUUCCCCAAGGCCUGGCACAGGCUUUCCUUAGAGCCAGGCUGUGGACCCAAAGCCUUGGGCCAAGUCUCAGGACCAGAUGGGCGGCUCUGGAGAGGACCCCACAGUCCAGGGUGAGGCGCGCCCCGCUGGGGGCAGCGCUGCCUGUGGAGAGGACCCCACAGUCCAGGGUGAGGCGCGCCCCGCUGGGGGCAGCACUGCCCGUGGCCGUCUCCAUCCAUCUCACCCUGACGCAAGGCCGGCUUCCUCUGCGUCCAGUGGUCGGGGCCUUGGAGAGGCCAGCAGGGCCCGUGGGGGUCGCGUUUCUUCCCUGUGGCAUCAGCUCUUUUCCCAGCAGGCCUCUUUGCAGCUGGAUGCAGCAGCCAAGCCCUGGAGUCUUUGGAAAACUGUGGCCUGGCGGGGGCCCAGGCAAUGCCACCUUACAGGGGACACCCACACAGGCGGUCCCGAGGAGGGGUGUGCUGCCGCCCUGAGCUCAGCCAGGCAUCACCGUGGUGUCACCGUCAGCUCGGGUGGCACCUCCCGGGCUGCCCUCUCGGCUGCCACUUCUCAUGAAACUGACAGGGACUGAACACGAAUGAUGUGGCUUAUAGCUGGGUGCCCCCACCCUGACCACAGGUGCCACGCGACGGGAGCCACAUUCUCUUCCUGAUUCUAACUCCACGGGUACAGAGACAGAAGCUGCCAUCUUUAGAAAUAAAACUUUUUUCUAACUACAAAAUAAUACAGUUUAAUAUAGGAAAUGUGGAAAAUGGGGUAUUCGGGGUGGAUAUUGAGAAGAGAGAAGCAACACCAAUUCUAUGUGCGAGACGCUGGCACUUCCCAGCGUAGCCUUGUGUUCCUGACCCUGGGGUGGCCUGAGCGUGGCCUGUGGGGCCCGUGUCCAGGUGCGGAGGGGGCCCUGAGUCGUGCGGGGCAAGUGGUCAGGGCCCCAGGCCCAGGCUGCCUGGAGCGAGAUGACUGGGCCUGGCCCCUGGGGACUUGCUCUGACAAAACCCCCCGGUCCCCACUCCUGAGCCCCUGCAGGAGCAGCCCUGGGAACAUGGGGAGCAGCUCCUUCUGCCUAUGUGCUCCGGACUCAGGAACUCUGGAGAGAAGAAACACAACCCCACAGGCCCCGCCUGCCUCUCCUGCAGUCUUGAGGCCCCAGGGAAAGCCCCCACUGCAGGCAGGGGGUGGGUGCCCGAGCGAGGGUGUGGGGUGAGCAGGGUCCUGGGCAUGUCAGGGCUGCGUGGGACUCCAGCGGGCCGGGUGCCUCUCGCCCUGCAGGACGUGGCUGGCCUGGUCUGCCCCCAGCUGAGCCUCACCUGAGGGAGAGCUGGGGUGGGCCGCCUCGUUUACGACCGUGUAGUCGUCUUUUGCACACAAAGCCAUGUGAGUCCGUACGUGAGUCCUGUGGAAAGACAAGACAUGGAAUAGGAGUGACGUCCGUCCCCAGGCAUGAAGUGGAGAGCAUCACGCUGUGUGAGUUAAACACUGGCCAAGCACGGUGUGAGUCGGAGCCGGGGACCUGGCCAGAUGAGGGCUGCGUGCAGCUUUCACACCCCAGGCACGUGAGCACCGCCAAGCCCAGCCUCAGCCAGCAGCUGCUCUGCAAUGUGGAGUCACCAGUGGCCCCAAGGAUGGCAGGUGGGGGUGGCCUUGGGACUGAAUUAGGCCGACACCCAAGGCCUCUGUUCCUUCCCGUCCCUUCUCUCCCUUCGGAGGAUCAAAUGAGAGUUUCUAGGAAAGAAAACAUGGCCAGGCCCUCCUCCAGCGCCCAGGCAGGGCUCGAGCGGACGCCCGUGUGACCCCCACAUCCCUUCUACCCCUGUAGCUCUCUGACUCUGAUAUCCCAGUGGGAGGAACGAGGAGGGGACGGGUGAGGAGGAGGAAGAGGAGGAGACAUGAGGGUUAGGAGGAGCACAUCCUGAGUUUGUGAGGCUUCACUGACCUCUGGCCUCACAAACACACACAGGCCUGAGCUCCGGAUAUUUCUCCUGUUCUGGAGACAGUGAGAAGUGAAAGAGAAAUGGCUGCCCCUGCACCACUUACCGCGAAGGAGGCUCAAGGCUGGGGGGCCCCUCUGCCUUCCAGUGACCGCCCGUGUCACAUCCUGACCCGCUCAGCAGGAGAGACGGCCAGAGGCAUGGAUGCACGCUGACUCGUGGACGGCCGCUGUUUGACGAGACCAUCAAGGAGGGAGGAGCACCCGUGGAAAGGCGUGGCAGGGUGGUCGGGGCAGAGGUGUACAUCAGCCUAUCCAAUGCUCACGGCUGGAGGACGCCGCGCCCUGUGAAUGCUCACUGAGGACCAUCCCGGGCACUGGGGCUCUCCAUGUGAGAAUGGACAAUAUGCUGCCUUCCCAGCUGCCCCAUCCUUCCUGCGAGAGCUUGGGGAUGGGUGGCCACAGUGGCACUGGGGAGAACACGAGGGCUCCCCAGCAAGCGUUUUCUCUCAUGGAGGUGGCUCUGGUCACAGCGUCACUGCAGGGCGCAGCCACGGUGGCGGCCAAUGGAAACUGGGCUCUUCUUUUUCUUUUUUUUUUUGAGACAGAGUCUCGCUCUGUCACCCAGGCUGGAGUACAAUGGCAGGAUCUCGGCUCACUGCAACAUCCACCUCCCGGGUUCAAGUGAUUCUCCUGCCUCAGCCUCCUGAGUAGCUGGGAUUACAGGUGCCAGCCACCACGCCCGGCUAAUUUUUGUAUUUUUAGUAGAGACAGGGUUUCACCAUGUUGGUCAGGCUGUCUCGAACUCCUGACCUCGUGAUCUGCCCGCCUUGGCCUUCUCAAAGUGCUGGGAUUACAGACAUGAGCCACCGCGCCCGGCCAAAACUGGGCUUUUCUACGGUGGGGAGAGCAGAGCUAUUCUCUCUGGGGUGGGUGCUUGUCUGGGACUUGUCACCAUCCCUUACUCCAGGGCUGUCUUCAGCACUGUCGCCCACAGUCUUUCCGAACGCCUUAUUCAGAUGUUAUAAUUUCCCACACGAUGUUCCUGACCAAGAAACGCAUUUUACAGCAAAGGGGUGAGGAACGGAUCUGUGGCCAUAGGAUCCCAGAGCCGUGUCCCCGCCACUCAGGAGCAGGCGACCUGAGCAGAAGGGCUUGGCGCUGGUGGGCAGUGGGAGCCCUGCCAUGGGCGGCCCGAGGGGUGGUGGGAUCCCCGCCGUGGGCAACCCCGGGGGCGGUGGGAGCCACGCUGUGGGUGGGCUGGAGGCCCUACUGGGUGUGCUACCGGAAGGGAGGUCCUGACUGUGAGUCCAUGUUCCUGGCAUGUUGAACAAAGAAUUGAGCAAAACUCACAAAACGACAAAUAACAGAGUAAUGAAAGCGCAGAUCCUUUGCAGUGAACAUGCACUCCACAAGGGGGGACGGGACUCCAGCAAGUGCUCCGGAGCCCCCAUUAGGGUUUGUAUUGGGCUAAAAGAAUUUGGUAACACCCCCAGGUGCCCUUUCCAGGUCUCUGAUUGGCUGCAUCCUAUGAAGACUGGCCUGCGGCCAAUCAGAGGCUGAGGUGGAGACUCCUGUCUUGUUUUCCCAGGAAGGAGGCUGCGGCCUGUGUGCCGCCCAAUCCAGCCAGGAACCGGUGGCACCUGCUGCCCUCCGGCUUCUGCCUUAGCCCUCGGUGACCCCAUUCCCUGUUCUCCUGCCUCAGGUGCAGGGCGAUGGUUCUCAGUCAACGCUGGGGCCAGAGCCGGGGCUGGGGCCGCUCGUUCUGCACAGGUCCCGGGAGUGGCGGUGAGCAAUGCUCUCGCUCUCAGCGACCCACGUGCAAAGCGCUCCCUGCGCCCCCGACCCCGCAGCUUUGGGCUCUGCUGACUUCAAGGCUUCAUUCUUCCUCCAGGAGAACACAGCAGGUCCCUCCGACCGCAGUCGGCCUCUCCAGCCUGCCAUGCCUCUGGCCAUGAGGCGACCCGCUGGAGUGAUGGAUUCCCGUCACUACCACCCACAGGGCGAGGGGGUGCAUUGGUCUGCUUGGGCCGCUGUAACAAAAUGCCACAGCCUGGAUGAGUGACUGACAUUGCUUCCCCACCGUUCUGGAGGCUGGAGGCCCGAGAUCGAGGUCCCUGACACUAUUUCAGUGAUGCCAGAGCCCAGGAGGAGUCGACCAAGCCCCAGCGUGGCCAUAAGCACCUUCGCAGGACCACGGAGUCGCUGCAGGUGUUCAGCCCUGUUGAGAGUGGGAGUCGGUGUCGAUGGUCACAGCUCAGUAACUCAUCGUCACCAGCGAGUACCACAGAGCAGACACAACUGCACUUCUCUGUAGAGCCUCCAGUCGAUACUGAGAGCCACUGGGGCGUCUGACACCCAAGGGUGCAGACAUUCACUCCAAGUCCAGAGACCGCGCCCUUUCUAAGGCCCUGUCUCACAGUCGCCCCGUGCUCAUUGUGCCGGAUGUUUCCACAGCCACAGAGACGGUGCGUGAAGGUGAGGUGCAGCCUAGUGCAUAUGACUGACAGAAACGUGAAGCCACAGUGGACGCCUGGAUGAGACACAGAUCACCUUCCAAAUCUGAGUGUGGCCUUGGGACCAACCAGGCAGCCAGGGAGAAGGCAGAGACCAGAGGGAACCCAGGUGCCCUCAAUCCCAGCCUCCUCUAUCCCAGCCUCCCAAUCCCAGCCUCCCCAAUCCCAGCCUCCUAAUCCCAGCCUCCUCCAUCCCAGGACCCCCACUCCCAGCCUCCCGAUCCCAGCUUCUCUGAUCCCAGCCUCCCCUAAAACCCAGACUCUAUGAAUCCCAGCCUCUGAGGUGGGAACUGUUAGUAACCCCACUCCAUGGACAAGAAAGCUGGGGCCUGGCGAGGCUAACAGACUAUCCUGAUGGUGUGAGGGAGGGAUCGGCCUCUGAGGGCUGCUUCCACCCAUCUCACCAGUGGCUGCAGGCUCCAGGCGCCACUUUCCUUGAGUCUAUGUUCUUUCCAAGCAUCCUGCAGCUCCAGAAGCUCUGGAGCCGCCAGCACUGAGAGAAGCGAUGGAGCUGCAUGCAGGGAAACUUUGUUGACAGCGGUGUCUGGAUGGACCAGCAGAGGGCACUCUCACCCACGGGGAAAAUCGUGCGCCCGGCCUCGUCCACCGCCAGAAGACGCCGCUACACAGUGAGUCAUUCCACAAAUCCCUGCUCUCACGGGAUCUCUGGAGAUAAAGGCAGUUGAGAAUCGACAAAUAGGACUGUUUCUCCGUUUAUGAAAUUUGAGCUGCCCUUAGACUUCACGGCAGAGAAUAUAGAGACAGUAAACCCUGGGGUUGAAGAUGGGACCACGAACCUGGGGCCACCUUCUAGGGACGGGUGCUUCGUGUGGGGCAUCCCGGGGAGGGGGUGCCCUGGAGCCUGAGUCAGUGCCAGGCACCUUGAGUCUAACGCUCUCAGUGCAGUUGCCUCCUUUGAAAAAUAAAAGGCUUGGACAAAAUAAGCUCCAAAGUCUCGUUCCGGUUUGAAAUUUUUAACAAGCAGAACGAGUUCCAGUGUCACCGAGGACCUUUUGGAAAUGACUUUCAGCCUCUGCCUCAGUCUCGGCAUCAGUCUGCUGGGGAGGGACUGGGGGUGCUUCAGGGAGAGGGCAGCCCCCCAGCAGAGGGAGGGGAAGCAGCCCAGGGACACCCCUUGGAGGGGCCUGAGGUGGGAGAUGGCACCAGCAGUGCCCCAGUGCCCACGGUACCCCAGGGGCGGCUCAGCCCCACCUGCGUCCACGUGUGUCCCUGGGCACGGGUGGGACGAGGCCCCUCGGGCUGGGUGGGGCGCUCCCCUCCUGACAGUCUGAAUUGCAUCCUCAAGUACUCAGACCCAGCGAUUUCUCCCCGCUGGGGACAUGGGGCAGCAACACAGGCAUCGCGCUGGGUUUUAUACAAGACACUGACUGCAUUCUGGUCGCCACCCGCCUCACGGUGGAAGAUGAUGUGGAUAUGCUUUCCCAGAGGUGCCUGCGGCCAGGGCCUGUGGAGCCUCCCUACCCUCUGUCCACACCAAGUCCACUGA
rnacentral:lncRNA from 1 species